UACGGGGGGAGCAAGCGUUGUUCGGAUUUACUGGGCGUAAAGGGCGCGUAGGCGGCCACGACAAGUCAGUUGUGAAAUCUCUGGGCUUAACUCAGAACGGUCAACUGAUACUGUCGGGCUUGAGUGCAGAAGGGGCAACUGGAAUUCUCGGUGUAGCGGUGAAAUGCGUAGAUAUCGAGAGGAACACCUGCGGCGAAGGCGGGUUGCUGGGCUGACACUGACGCUGAGGCGCGAAAGCUAGGGGAGCGAACGGG
rnacentral:rRNA from 1 species